AGUUAACAGUGCCACUGUUCAUGAAUUAUGCUGCUCAGUUAAUUGGACUUCUUUGGAGGAAUAUUAAUCUCCUUUUUCAUGCUUGUUGUUUUGGACUGGAAAUUUUAUAUAUCUGUGUGACACAAAGCAAUAUCCUGGACAAUGAGAAAAUUAGCAUUCUGGGAAUGAAGGCAGCUGCAAACACUCAUUAGAGCUGGUGAAAUUUCACGGGGUACGUGUGUGUUGCCUUGAUAUUCCGUUAAUGUGGCUGAGGAUCUUCUGCAUGGUGCUACAUUUUACUCCUAAGAUUUUAUAGCUGAAAAAAAGAUCUCCAUACCAGACAAUUACAUAUCUAUAGGGAUUAAUUACUUGGUUUUGUGUGACACAGGUUACCCUGAAGUUUAAGAAGCAGGGCUCAAGUGUAAAACUCCAUUCUGAGUCUUAGAUUAAACCUCUGUGGUCCCAUUGAAAAUAUUACUAAAAUAACAAACAUGUUAUUGUUUCAUCUGUCUUUUUAUGUAGAGUCUAAGUAGUUAUUUUUUCCAGAGAGUGAGUUAUAAUGAAACUGUGUGGUUUAAGCAAGAUUUAAGUAUGUAUUUGUGCUUCUGAGCAUCUCAGUUGAUUAGUUUUAAUCUGUUCAUUUUCUGUUAUCAUAAAGUAGGAGCUGAAGUGUGACAGAAAGUUUUAUAAUAACAUGUCCUAACUGUAGACAACUUUCUGUUUCUGUUUACAAGGUAUAUGAAAAAAAAACCUUGAUAUUCUUUUUCCUCAAUGGAAAAAAAUAAGAAAAUAAGUCACAUGGUGUUAUGUUUCCACUUUCAGCAAGAAUAGAAAAGGAAAAGUGACUGAAAACAAUGCUCUUGGAAAAGUGGGAGCCGUAGAUUCUGAACACAAGCCCAACCUCCUAUCAGUCUGUGAACUGCCAUAGCCAUGCUCCUCUACAAGCCAAGGAAGUCUGGUGUUUGCCACACUGGCUUUUAACUCUGGUAAAGUGCAGGGGCAAAACCUCAGGAGCUGUCUCCAUACCAAAAUUCCCCUGUCCCCCUUUCCCCCUCCCCCUCUCCUUUCCCCCUGUCCCCCUAUCCUUCUUCUUCUCCUUCAUCCAUCCUUUUCUACCCUUGUCUCUCUUGCUCUUUUUUUUUUUUUGCCCACCCUCCCAAUGAUGUCAUAUCUCCAACCUUUACCAUUAUAAAUCUACCAGAUAUUUCACCAGGAUUUUCCAAAUUGGAAGGGCAGGGCAGGGUGGGGGCAGAUUUGCUUAACAAAAGUACUAAAGACACUUAAAUUCCAGGGCAGAAUAUUGUAUAUGAUGGUAUUCAUUUUUAGAUUUUAUAAUCACAGGUAAAGAUGCCUGAUGCAUAGGCUAUGGUAUAAACCUUUCAUUUAUGUACACAAUCCAAACACAUUUGAUGAUUAGAAAUUGAGGAAAAGAGCAUUAAAAGCUUAAAUCUUACUUGAUGUUCUUUCUCUAAGCAGUUUUGGAACAUUUGUUAUUUUGUGAUUGCUAUAAAUAUGGAAUAUGUCCAGUUAUUUUUGUUCCUACUGCAAUAAGAACUUUCUAUGAUAACAUCUUCAGGUUCAGACACGGGGUAUACGAUAUUCUUCAUUAUUAACAUAGGCAAUUUUUUGAUGUGUGUUGUUUGUGGUGUGUGUGUGGUGAAUUCAGAAAUUCACCUGCCUCUGCCUCCCAAGUGCUGCGAUUAAAGGCGUGCAUCACCAAACCCAGCUGUGUGUGAUUCUUUUAACCUAAUUUAGAUUGUAUUCUGGGAAACUGAUUUAGUAGGUCAAAAAUAUAUAUGAUAUGACUUUUGAGAAAUACUAAUAAAUUUCUUCCUGAAAAUAUGAUUUUCACUCUUGAAAUCCAGCAACAGUAAGUGGCUAGCAUUUAUUAUGUGCUUUUCUAGCAUUGCUAAAAUACUAAUUGAUUACUUAUUUGACUGUACAUUUGCCUCUUUUAUUAUGGAUAAGGCUGAAUUUCCCUGUUUGACGUCCUAGUAAUUCAUGGAAUUUCACUCUAAUCUUUUUACAUAACUUUGCAUUAUUUUAUUGUUUCCUGGUUACUCAUUUAUUUAUUGUCAUCUGAAAGACAUGCAAUAAUUUUCACACAGAUUCAUGUGUGACCUACAUAUGUAGCCCUAAUAGUUUAUUUUUUCUCAUGUUUUGCAAAUAUUUUUGUAUUUAAUUUAAUUUAAGUUUUUACAUAUUCACUUUACUUCCCUUCCACUGUCCCCUCCUGGUCACCCCCUCUCACAAUUCUUUCCCCACCCCCUUCUCCUUCUCGUCUGAGCAGAUGGGGCUUCCCUGGGUACCUACCAACCCUGGCACUUCAAGUCUUCAUGGGACUAGGCACUUCCUUUCCUAUUGAGGACAGACAACGCAGCCCAGCCAGAGGAAUAUACCCCAUCUAAAGGUAACAGUUUAUAGGAUAGCUCUUGUUCCAGUUUUCCAGGACCCAUAUUCAGACCAAGUUGUAAAUCUGCUACAUAUGUUCAGAGAAGCCUAGGUCAAGCACAUGUCUGUUCUUUGGUUGGUGGUUCAGACUCUGAGAGAGCCAAGGGUCCAUGUUAGUUGAUUGUUGGUCUUCUCGUGGAGUUCCUAUCCUCUUCGGAGCCUGCAAUCCUUCUUCAUAUUCUUCCCUAAGAGUCCCCACAGUCUAUUCACUGUUUGGCUGUGGGUGGCCGUGUCUGUCCGAGUCAGCAGCUUUGAGAAGCCUCUCAGAGGACAAUGUGCCCUUGUCUGCAAGCAUAACAGAGUAUGAUUAAUAGUGUGAGGGAUUAGUGCUUGCUCAUGUGAUGGGUUUAGUGUUGGGUCAGUUAUUAGUUGACCAGUUGCUUAGUCUUUGCUCCAUCAUCCAUGUCUGCAUUACUUAUAGAUGGUAAAUUUUCAGUUGAAAGUUUUGUGGGUGGGUUAAUAUUUCUAUUGCUCCAUGGGGGUUUCUGCCCGGCUAUAGGAGGUGGCUUCUUCAGGGUCCAUAUCCCCAUUGUAGUGAGUAACACUCAAGGCCACCCCCAUUGAUUCUUGGGUGCUUCCUUUAUCCUAGGUCUCUCUCUCUCAUCCUGGAGAUGCCCCUCAAUUCAUCUCUGUCAGGUGCAAAUUUCCAUUCAUUUUCAUGGCCACCUAGCCAUCUCUCCUGUCCUUCCCCACACUUGAUGCUGAACUUCUUAUUCUUCCCAUUUCCUAUUCCUCCCAGUUCCCUUUCUCCAUUUUUUCCUCUUAAGACUAUUGUAUUCCCAUUUCUAAGUGAGAUUCAAACUUGCUCGCUUGGACCUUCCUUCUUCUUUCGCUGUUUUGGGUCUGUGGAGUAGAUAGCAUGGUACCUGUGUUUUAUGCCUAAAAUGCACUUAUAAAUGAGAAUAUACCAUGCAUGUCAUUUUGGGUCUGGGUUACUCACUAAUCUAGACAAUAUCUUAUUUAGACUCCCUUUCCACAAGAUUUUAGCUUGUUAAGUUGAGAAGUAAAACACAAAUAGGAUCAAUAUAUAUGUUUCUGGAGGAGAACCAUGUCUGUGAGGGAUUUCCUAGAUUAUGUUAAUAGAGGUAGGAGGGUCUAUCUAGAUUUAACAAUUUGUUAGACUGUUCUAUCAAUUUCUGCUAUGUAUGUGAUUCUCUCUUCCAUCUUCUGUAUUUUGUUGAUGAUGCUUGCAUCUGUUGUUCCUGUUACCUUCCCUAGGUUUUCAGAAUUCCAUAAGUUUGUAUUUUCUUUAUUGCUUCUACUUCCACUUCCAGGUCUUGCACAGUUUUAUUUAUUUCCUUCACCUGUUUGAUUGUAUUUUCCUGUAUAUCUUUAAGGAAUUUAGUUUCCUCUUUAAAACCUCUAUCUGUUUGAUUGAAUUCUCCUGUAUUUCUUAUAUUUUUGGUUGUGAGCCUAGCCAUUAACAGCUGGGCCAUCUCUCCAGCCCUCUCCUGUAUUUCUUUAAGGGAUUCAUUCAUUUCCUCUUUAAAGGCCUCUAUCAUCUUUGUAAAAUUGAAUUUAGACUCAUUUUCUUAUGUUUCAGUUAGGACAUCCAGGGCUUGUUGUGGUGGUAAGCUGUGUUUUGGAAACCACUCCUGCAGGUAUGGAUAUUUCAUGAGCCUCAAAUCCCAUGAAGGUGAGCAGCAUGGUGGCAGGAGAAUGGGGGUUUCCCUCAGCUAACAGGCUUGGCUUGGUCCAAGCAGGGAAGAUGGGUAGGGGAAGGGGAGCUUACCUGUAUGGUUCAGAAGUCUGAUAGAGGUAGAGGAGAGGUGUCAGGAGAACGGAGGUCCUCCUGGGAUAGUAGGCUGCUCAGGGCAGGUUGGCAUGACCCAGAGGGUUCUCAGAGCAGGAAAAAUAGAUGAGGGAAGAAAAGUUUAUCUGUAUGUUUCAGGAGUCUGAUAGAUGUGGAGGACAUGUGAUGGGAGAAUGGAGGUUCCCCUGAGAUAGCAGGCUGCUCAGAGUAGACUGGGAUGGCCCAGAAGUCUCAGCCAGCAGGGAAGAUAGGUGCAAAUAUUUUUAAAAUACCACUUUUUAAAUAUUUUCAUUAUAUUCAACUUAUUCAGGAUUAAAUUUUUAUUCUAUUUUCUUUUUUUCAACGUUUCCUUCAGUAAGUAGUUCUCACUUUGCUAGAUUUUCAUAUUCUGGGUGAGGAAAAACUCAUUUUCUUUUAGAAAAAAUAUUUUCCUUCAAACAUUUCUGGCAAAAAAAAAAUCAAAUCUGGCAUUCAGAACAUCUGCAGAAACAAUGAGUUGACUUUGGAAAUGAAGAACACUGUAGCCCACAAUAAUCCUCUGAUUGGACAGACAUUAUAGAAACCUCCCGAGGCUGGGCAAGUGGCCAACCUGCUGUUCUUGCAAUUCAAUAAAAUAUAUCAACCAGACAGACUGUGAGCAACUGUUUUGUAAAGAGAUGAUAAUCAGGUCAGAACGGCAUUUAGACUACAUGGAAGUGUGACUCCCAAGUUACAAAAGGAGGGUAGAGUGGCAAAUCCCUCUGCUUUCAACACUUGGAGGAAAGAUGCCUGAGAAUCAGCAGUUCGAAAUCAUCCUGGUUUACAUAGAGGGUUCCAAGCCACCUGGCACUCUGCAAUCAGACUCUGUGAAGAUCACAGUAACAACAAAUAACAACAAAAACAGGAAAGGAAAGGAAACAUGUUUUCUCCAGAAAUUCAUUUGAAAUUCUAGUUAUAUCAACUUUACAAAAGAUGAACUCCUUCAUUCCAAGCCGAUGGAUUAUAGACAGUAACACACAGAUAAAUGAUUAAAAUACACAGACCUAUAAAAGUGGCAGUGCUUAACCUAUCUUUUACUUUAAGAUCAACUUACCCUUCAAGAUGGCAACAUAAAUCAUCAAAUCUGUGAAUAUUCUAUUUGUUUCAGAAAUUAAGACACACUUUUGACAGUACAAUGUAUUUUCAUCUAAUAUCUUCGUGACUGAAAAUAUUAUUCCAUUCAUUAUGCCCUAUUAUCUGUUAGCCCAGCCCUGAAUGGUGUGUGUGCACUUUUAUGUGGUUCCCCCAUUAGUAAAAUGAUAAAAUGAUUAAAAGUUAUUGAAUGCUCUUUAAUUUCUUACAACAAAUUCUAGUUGCUCAUAAUAUCUUAUUAAUGGAUUUAGAUUUUCUUUUUAAAUUACACUGUAGUUUUAAUAGUGAAUUUUUUGUACUCUUUUGUAUAAUAUCAACCAAUUAUACUUUGGAAAAUAAAGUGAUCUGUUAUAAUUUUAGCUAGUUUAUAUUAUAACUUUUAAUCUACUAGAAUUGUAACUGUUAACAGAUUUGUUUUUAACGCUAUUUACUUUCAUGUAUGAGUUAUAGUUCCCUCCUUCCUCCCUCGCUCUCUCCCUCCCCGCCCCUCUCUCUCACUCUCUCCCUUGCUCUCUUUUUCUCUCUUUUUACUUCCCUCCUUCCUUCUUUUCUUCUCUCUCUCCUUCUUUCUUUCCCUCUCUUUCCAUUUCUUUCUUCUUGAUUUUCAGUAAUAUAGCUGGAAUGUAAGACCCCAGCUGAGCUAGAAAAAUUGGAUUCUAGAAAAGUUGUUUUUCCCUGGACUGAAGGAAAAUACACUGAGCAAACACUUUCCCUUGUGAUUUCCCAACCUUCCACUUUCCAAUGCAUUUGGAGAAUCAGCUACAUUUAUAGGGAAAGGCCUUUCUCCUUGCUUGUAAUUCUAAUGCAUGGAAAUAUCAUAGUCUUUAUUAUUAUUAUUUUCCUUCUAUUUUAAUUUUGAAUUUAUAUUCUCCAACACCAAACAUUUAGUGCAACUUAAAUUGAUGUUGAAUUUCAUCUUAAAUUAAAACAAUUUGUAAUUUUACCAUACUAAUUUUUCAUUCAGAAAUUCAGUGAUUCUCUGUUUAUGUGAGAAUUAUUGCAUCUUCUAAAGUUUGUCAAGAAUGAUUCUUGAUGACUUUAAACCAAAUUUACCAAUAUCUGAAAAUACUUUAAAAAUUAUCUUUGGAGGAAAUUUUCUUGUUGGCUUUAGAGUUGAAUAUUCUUUGUAGGAAUUAAUGCAUUUUCAUUCUUUCUGAAAUCCUCUUUGUAUUAACGUGAGUGUGUGUGUGUGUGUGUGUGUGAGUAUGUGUGUGUGUGUGUGUGUGUGUGUGUGUGUGUGUGUGAGUAUGUAUGUGUGUGUGUGUGUGUUAAAAAUAAUAAUCAAAGACAAAGAAGCAAUCAAUUUGAGAACAGGACCAAGGCCAGGGAGGAAGGCCUGUGAGGAGGAGGAGAGAACCUGAAAUGGGUUGGAAGGGAGGGUGAUGAAAUAAUAAUUAAAGUACACUAAUAAAUAAUAAUAGAGAUUAAUCCCAAUACUAAUAUUAGUAAGAUUUUUUCAAUAAAUUCUUAACUAUUCUUGACAGAUAAUCAUCCUGAUUGUAAAUAAAUUAUUUUUUACUUUAUUCUCAUUACUUUUUAAGUUAUUGGUAUUUAUUUGUGUUUUUUAAUUUUAAGUUCUUUAUACCAACAUUUUAAUAAUUUCUUUCUCUCUGAUUCAUAGUGCUCAUCUGCUCUGGUCAUAAACAAACAACAUGUCAGGUUCUGGGUAUAAGAUAUUGUUUCCAUAGAUUCAUCUCUAAGUGUUUUAUCCAUAGAUUUAUGUCAUAUUGCCUUCAGUAUAUUAAAAUAAACAUAUCCCAUGGCUAUCCUAUUGAGAGAUUUUGUUAUCUAAAUGUUAAAUUUUAUUAAAUGUUGUUCUUAUAUUUCUGGAGAUAAUUAUUAUAGAUUUAUGUAUAUUGAUUUUUUUUUUUUUUUAGAAUUCCAUGUACAACCUCAUUUUGUUCUCAAUAAUACCAUGUCUCUGGGUUAAAUAUGUUUGGGAAUAUUUUAUUGAAGAUUCUUUUAUCUGAGUUCAUUAGAAAUAUUGGCUUAUGAUUGUCAAUUUCUUCCAGUGUCCAGUCUAAUCACUUUGGGAUCUGACUAUUGUUAGCUUGUAAAAUGAGUUUGGAAAUAUUUAUGUCAUCUGUAAUUUGCUGAAAGUCAAGGAAGGCUUCUUGUCAGUUUCUAAAUGGUUGACAAAAUUCAGCAGAGAGACAUAAGACACUGUGCUUUAAUUUGAUGGGAGACCUUAUUGCCCAUUAGCUUUCCUCACAUGUUAAUUGGUUGGUUAGACUUUGUUGCUAUCUUGGGAUGACACUAUCUUCAUAUGUAGAGUAAUGUUGGUUUCGAACUUGUAGGGUUUCUUCUUUCAUGGCCAGAGUACUGUGAUUACAAUUCCCAUAUUCAGCUGCUGUUUGUAAUUUAUAAAUUAUUUUGUAAUGUUAGUCUCAGAAGGUUAUAAGUUUGUAAAAAUUUGUUCUUUUUCCCAAAUUACUCAUUUUGUUGUCUUAUCCUUUUUCAUAUCAU
rnacentral:lncRNA from 1 species